CGUGUAGGCGGUUGGUUAAGUCGGAUGUGAAAGCCUGGGGCUCAGCCCCAGAAGUGCAUCCGAAACUAUCCGGCUAGAGCGCGAUAGAGGAGGGUGGAAUUCCUGGUGUAGCGGUGAAACGCGUAGAUAUCAGGAGGAACACCGGCGGCGAAGGCGGCCCUCUGGAUCGUUGCUGACGCUGAGACGCGAAAGCGUGGGGAGCAAACAGGAUUAGAUACCCUGGUAGUCCACGCCUUAAACGAUGGGUACUAGGUGUUCGGGGUGUUGACCCCCUGAGUGCCGCAGUUAACGCAUUAAGUACCCCGCCUGGGGACUACGGCCGCAAGGUUAAA
rnacentral:rRNA from 1 species